rnacentral:rRNA from 1 species
AUUGAACGCUGGCGGCAGGCCUAACACAUGCAAGUCGAACGGUAGCACAGAGAGCUUGCUCUCGGGUGACGAGUGGCGGACGGGUGAGUAACGUCUGGGAAACUGCCCGAUGGAGGGGGAUAACUACUGGAAACGGUAGCUAAUACCGCAUAACGUCGCAAGACCAAAGUGGGGGACCUUCGGGCCUCACACCAUCGGAUGUGCCCAGAUGGGAUUAGCUAGUAGGUGGGGUAAUGGCUCACCUAGGCGACGAUCCCUAGCUGGUCUGAGAGGAUGACCAGCCACACUGGAACUGAGAGACGGUCCAGACUCCUACGGGAGGCAGCAGUGGGGAAUAUUGCACAAUGGGCGCAAGCCUGAUGCAGCCAUGCCGCGUGUACGAAGAAGGCCUUCGGGUUGUAAAGUACUUUCAGCGGGGAGGAAGGCGGUGAAGUUAAUAACUUCACCGAUUGACGUUACCCGCAGAAGAAGCACCGGCUAACUCCGUGCCAGCAGCCGCCGUAA